rnacentral:rRNA from 1 species
UGCCAGCCGCCGCGGUAAUACGAAGGGCCCGAGCGUUAUUCGGAAUCACUGGGCUUAAAGCGUACGUAGGCGGAUGCGCAGGCAUCAUGUGAAAUCCCUCGGCUCAACCGAGGAACUGCAUGGUGAACCUCGCAUCUUGAGGCAAGCAGGGGCUGUCGGAACGAUAGGUGGAGUGGUGAAAUGCGUUGAUAUCUAUCGGAACACCAAAGGUGAAGACAGGCAGCUGGGCUUGUCCUGACGCUGAUGUACGAAAACGUGGGGAGCAAACAGGAUUAGAUA